GGGUUCUGCAUUUCUCUCUCUUUUCUCUGCCAUGGGUCUCUGUUUCACCAGAACCCGCGACAUUCCAAUCGAUUCCUUCUCCUAUGGCUCAGACACAACUCUCCCAACCAAACCUCAAUCGCAAGACCCACCAAAGCCACCGCCAAAGCCGCAGUCUAUUCCCUCUUACAAGUCCGUUCCGCCGUCGCAGAUUGGCCCAAUCACCGGCCGCCCCUACAUCAACAUAACCACAAUCUACGAACUCCACAAGGAGCUUGGUCGAGGUCAGUUCGGGAUUACUUAUCUUUGUACCGAGAAAGCCACGGGUCGUAAAUACGCUUGCAAAACGAUUUCGAGGAGAAAAAUGGUGAAUCCGAAGGACAUCGAAGAUGUGAGAAGGGAGAUUUUGAUUCUGCAGCAUUUGACUGGACAACCGAACAUCGUGGAGUUUAAAGGGGCGUAUGAGGAUAAGAGGAAUUUGCAUCUGAUUAUGGAGCUGUGUUCCGGCGGAGAGCUUUUCGAUCGGAUUAUCAAGAAGAAGAGUUACUCGGAACGGGAAGCGGCGUCGAUUUGUAAGCAGAUUUUGAAUGUGGUUCAUGCUUGCCAUUUUAUGGGGGUUAUGCACAGGGAUUUGAAGCCUGAGAACUUCCUGAUGGUCAGUCAAGACGAUGAUUCGCCGAUUAAGGCUACCGAUUUUGGACUCUCUGUUUUCAUCGAAGAAGGCAAAGUAUACAAAGACAUAGUUGGAAGUGCAUAUUAUAUUGCCC
rnacentral:misc_RNA from 1 species